rnacentral:rRNA from 1 species
UACAGAGGGUGCGAGCGUUGUCCGGAAUCACUGGGCGUAAAGGGCGCGUAGGCGGCCUGAUAAGUAGGGGGUGAAAUCCUGUGGCUUAACUGCAGGGCUGCCUCCUAGACUGUUAGGCUCGAGCACGGUAGAGGCAGAUGGAAUUCCCGGUGUAGCGGUGGAAUGCGUAGAGAUCGGGGAAUAACGAUCGGUGGCGAAGCGGUCUGCUGGGCCGUUGCUGACGCUGAGGGCGCGACAGCGUAGGGGAGCAAACAGG